GUGGGACCCUUGACGCUGUAUGAGGAUGGACCGGGGCAGAGUGGUAGUCCCGCGGAGUAAGAGGUGGCAGAGAGGUGCUGGACUUGUGGGAGGACUUUUGUUUUUUGUUGUUUAACAACAUGUACAUAACCAAUGAGAGGCGGGAUAGUUAGUGUUCGUGGUUUAUAAUGUUUUUUUUGUAGAAAUUCCCCUCUCAAUCUCAUCUUCCCCACGUGUAAA
rnacentral:lncRNA from 1 species